UCAUACAUACAUGUGUAUGAGGCUGUGUUGGCUGAAAGUCCAUAGGCUGACCAAGAUAAUCUCAUGAAAUCUGACCAAAUGGGGCUUAUUUUCCAACAUAGACCCCCUUGCAGUCCAUAUAUUUCUUCCAUCGGCGUUGCAGUGCUUGGACCUCA